rnacentral:rRNA from 1 species
AUACGAUGAAGAGUUUGAUCCUGGCUCAGGAUGAACGCUAGCGGCAGGCUUAACACAUGCAAGUCGAGGGGUAGUAGGAGCUUGCUUCUAUGAGACCGGCGCACGGGUGCGUAACGCGU